AUUGAACGCUGGCGGCAGGCCUAACACAUGCAAGUCGAGCGAGCGGCGGACGGGUGAGUAAUGUCUGGGGAUCUGCCUGAUGGAGGGGGAUAACUACUGGAAACGGUGGCUAAUACCGCAUACUAUCGGAUGAACCCAUAUGGGAUUAGCUAGUAGGUGGGGUAAAGGCUCACCGAGGCGACGGUCGCUAGCUGGUCUGAGAGGAUGAUCAGCCACACUGUGAAUGAGACACGGCCCAGACGCCUACGUGAGGCAGCAGUGGGGAAUAUUGCACAAUGGGCGCAAGCCUGAUGCAGCCAUGCCGCGUGUAUGAAGAAGGCCUUCGGGUUGUAAAGUACUUUCAGCGGGGAGGCGUUACCCGCAGAAGAAGCACCGGCUAACUCCGUGCCAGCAGCCGCGGUAAUUC
rnacentral:rRNA from 1 species